rnacentral:rRNA from 1 species
AACGUAGGAGGCAAGCGUUAUCCGGAGUGACUGGGCGUAAAGCGCACGCAGGCGGAUGCGCGCGUGGGGUGUGAAAUCUGGCCGCUUAACGGCCAGGCGCCAUCCCAUACGGCGCGUCUGGAGUGAUGCAGAGGUCGAUGGAAUUGCCGGUGUAGUGGUGAAAUGCGUAGAGAUCGGCAGGAACACCCAGGGGGAAACCAGCCGACUGGGCAUCUACUGACGCUGAGGUGCGAGAGCGUGGGGAGCGAACCGG